rnacentral:rRNA from 1 species
CUUCGGGGUGGACGCUCGUGGAACGAGCGGCGGACGGGUGAGUAACACGUGGGCAACCUACCUGUGAGACGGGGAUAACUCCGGGAAACCGGGGCUAAUACCGGAUAACGCAUCGAACCGCAUGGUUCGAUGAUCAAAGAUGGCUUCUCGCUAUCACUCACAGAUGGGCCCGCGGCGCAUUAGUUAGUUGGUGAGGUAACGGCUCACCAAGGCGACGAUGCGUAGCCGACCUGAGAGGGUGAUCGGCCACACUGGGACUGAGACACGGCCCAGACUCCUACGGGAGGCAGCAGUAGGGAAUCAUCCGCAAUGGACGCAAGUCUGACGGUGCAACGCCGCGUGAGCGAUGAAGGUCUUCGGAUCGUAAAGCUCUGUUGUGAGGGAAGAACAAGUGCCGUUCGAAUAGGGCGGCACCUUGACGGUACCUCACCAGAAAGCCCCGGCUAACUACGUGCCAGCAGCCGCGGUAAUACGUAGGGGGCAAGCGUUGUCCGGAAUUAUUGGGCGUAAAGCGCGCGCAGGCGGUUCCUUAAGUCUGAUGUGAAAGGCCACAGCUCAACUG